UACGGAGGGUGCGAGCGUUGUCCGGAAUCAUUGGGCGUAAAGGGCGCGUAGGUGGCCCGCUCAGCGUGCGGUGAAAGCUCGGGGCUCAACCCCGAGUCGGCCGUGCGAACUGGUGGGCUGGAGCACUGUAGAGGCAGGCGGAAUUCCGGGUGUAGCGGUGGAAUGCGUAGAGAUCCGGAAGAACACCGGUGGCGAAGGCGGCCUGCUGGGCAGUUGCUGACACUGAGAAGCGAAAGCAUGGGGAGCGAACAGG
rnacentral:rRNA from 1 species